rnacentral:rRNA from 1 species
GACGAACGCUGGCGGCGUGCUUAACACAUGCAAGUCGAACGGUAAGGCCCUUCGGGGUACACGAGUGGCGAACGGGUGAGUAACACGUGGGUGAUCUGCCCUGCACUUCGGGAUAAGACGGGGAAACUGGGUCUAAUACCGGAUAGGACCAUGCGCUUAAAGGUGUGUGGUGGAAAGCUUUUGCGGUGUGGGAUGGGCCCGCGGCCGAUCAGCUUGUUGGUGGGGUAAUGGCCUACCGAGGCGACGACGGGUAGCCGGCCUGAGAGGGUGACCGGCCACACUGGGACUGAGAUACGGCCCAGACUCCUACGGGAGGCAGCAGUGGGGAAUAUUACACAAUGGGCGCAAGCCUGAUGCAGCGACGCCGCGUGGGGGAUGACGGCCUUCGGGUUGUAAACCUCUUUCAGUAGGGACGAAGCGCAAGUGACGGUACCUACAGAAGAAGGACCGGCCAACUACGUGCCAGCCGCCGCAGUAA